GACGAACGCUGGCGGCGUGCUUAACACAUGCAAGUCGAACGGAAAGGCCUGCUUUCCCUUGUGGAUUGCGGGUACUCGAGUGGCGAACGGGUGAGUAACACGUGAGUGAUCUGCCCCCAACUUGGGUAUAAGCCUGGGAAACUGGGUCUAAUUCCCGAUAGGACUGCAGGGUGGUGCCUGUGGUGGAAAACGAUUUUCUAGUGGUUGGGGAUGAGCUCGCGGCCUAUCAGCUUGUUGGUGGGGUAAUGGCCUACCAAGGCGGCGACGGGUAGCCGGCCUGGGAGGGUGGACGGCCACAUUGGGACGGAGAGACGGCCCAGACUCCUACGGGAGGCAGCAGUGGGGAAUAUUGCACAAUGGGCGGAAGCCUGAUGCAGCGACGCCGCGUGGGGGAUGACGGCCUUCGGGUUGUAAACUCCUUUCGACCGCGAGGAAGCCACCUGGUUGGAAGGGUGGUGACGGUAGUGGUAGAAGAAGCACCGGCUAACUACGUG
rnacentral:rRNA from 1 species